AUCUAGUCGAUGAGUAUCAAACAGUACGAAACGCGUGUCCUGGAU
rnacentral:hammerhead_ribozyme from 1 species